rnacentral:tRNA from 1 species
GGCCCCUUGGUCAAGCGGUUAAGACACCGCCCUUUCACGGCGGUAUCACGGGUUCGAAUCCCGUAGGGGUC